ACAAACUUGGUCAUUUAGAGGAAGUAAAAGUCGUAACAAGGUUUCCGUAGGUGAACCUGCGGAAGGAUCAUUACAAAUGCCCCGGCCGAACCCUUAAGGCUCGGGGAUUACACCACUGACCCGCACGUUCCCUCCGUACGGCCCCAGGGUCGCGGGAGGGCGCGUGUAGAAGUCGCGGUUUAUGUGUCCACCCCAUGUGAAACUUUGAACUUUUGCUUCGGCAGCACCCUUCGGGAGACCGUCGGGGUAAGGCUGUCAGAAGCCCGUAACGAAACCAGUCGAUGAAAUGUCAUGCUGUCUGAUACAUUGCAAUUUGAGAAAUCAAAAUAAAGUUAAAACUUUCAGCAACGGAUCUCUUGGUUCCCGCAUCGAUGAAGAACGCAGC
rnacentral:misc_RNA from 1 species